rnacentral:misc_RNA from 1 species
GAUGGACAAACAUUUCCUGGUCGCAAGCAGAGACUGUCUGUUCGACGCGUUCACUGUGCGAGAUUUCAUUUCGUUUUGCAAGUACGGAAAGAACACUCUCAAGUGGGCUUAUUGCGUCCAAAGAAAAAUGCCCAAACGUAACAACUGCGCCGCCACAGAGGGGAAAAUCAGCGGCGACGGCAGUUUCGACGACAACGACAGGAAAGAACCAUUGGAGCCAGUCCAGCCUCGGAUGGGCAAUGAGACAGCAGUCUCCGAGGAAGCCGCAGCAGCAUUCCCUCACAUUGAGUCUUCCACCUCGGCGCCGGGUCGCUAAAACUCUCAACGCUGUCGGUGCAAGCGAUUCCGAAGACGCUUUUGUCCCAGCGCAUUAAAAGCUA